rnacentral:lncRNA from 1 species
CACCUUCUUGUCGUUUGACCUCCUGAUGUGAUUCAUUAGGACUGUUAUCAAGAUUCGGUGAAACUGCUUGUCUUCUGAGUUUUUUUUGUGGUUUAGCUGAAACCUUCUGCUCCUCUUCUAAGUUCAAGUUCUGUGGUUCAUGGAGGUCAUUAUUAGCAUUUAGUGCACCUGCACCUUGUUCUCUUUUGACCUCUUGAUGGGAUUCGUUAGGACUGUCAUCAAGAUUCAGUGCAACUGCUUGUCUUUUGAGUUUUUUUUGUGGAUUAGCUGAAACCUUCUGCUCCUCUUCUGAGUUCAAGUUUUGUGGUUCAUGGUGGUCAUCAUUAGCAUUUAGUGCACCUGGACCUUCUUCUCUUUUGACCUCUUGAUGGGAUUCAUUAGGACUGUCAUCAAUAUUCAGUGAAACUGCUUGUCUACUGAACUUUUUUUGUAGUUUACCUUUACCUGAAGCCUUCUGCUCCUCUUCCGAGUUCAAGUUCUGUGGUUCAUGGAGGUCAUCAUUAGCAUUCAGUGCAACUGCAUCUUCUUGUAUUUUGACCUCUUGAUGUGAUUCAUUAGGACUGUCAUCAAGAUUCAGUGCAACUGUUUGUCUUCCAAGUUCUUUUUGUGGUUUAUCUUUACCUGAAACCUUUUGCUCUUCUUCUAAGUUCGAUUUCUGUGGUUCAUGGAGGUCAUCAUUAGCAUUCGGUGCACCUGCAUCUUCUUGUAUUUUGACCUCUUGAUGUGAUUCAUUAGGACUGUCAUCAAGAUUCAGUGCAACGGUUUGUCUGCCGAGUGCUUUUUGUGGUUUAUCUUUACCUGAAACCUUUUGCUCUUCUUCUAAGUUUGAUUUCUGUGGUUCACGGAGGUCAUCAUUAGCAUUCGGUGCACCUGCAUCUUCUUGUAUUUUGACCUCUUGAUGUGAUUCAUUAGGACUGUCAUCAAGAUUCAGUGCAACGGUUUGUCUGCCGAGUUCUUUUUGUGGUUUAUCUUUACCUGAAACCUUUUGCUCCUC